UACAGAGGGUGCGAGCGUUGUCCGGAAUCAUUGGGCGUAAAGCGCGCGUAGGUGGCUUCAUAAGUCCGUUGUGAAAGUCAAAGGCUCAACCUUUGAAAGCCGAUGGAUACUGUGGAGCUAGAGUACGGAAGAGGCGAGUGGAAUUCCUGGUGUAGCGGUGGAAUGCGCAGAUAUCAGGAGGAACACCAAUAGCGAAGGCAGCUCGCUGGGACGUUACUGACACUAAGGCGCGAAAGCGUGGGGAGCGAACAGG
rnacentral:rRNA from 1 species